UCUCUCUCCCCCCCUCCCCCGCUCUCAUUCUGUGUGUGUCGCUCUCUCUCAAAAAUAAACAAGCAUUAAAAAAAAUAAAUGAAUAAAAAUAUGUUUGUUUCUUUUUAAAGCAGCAAGUUUCUUCUAAAUUCUGGAAGGCAGUAAAAUGAGGGACUUGGCUUUGAGACCUGCUUUUCUGUUGAUUAAAACAAUCCUAAAUCUGGGGGCACCUGGGUGGUUCAGUCAGUUAAGCGUCUGACUCUUGAUUUCCCCUCAGGUUGUGAUCUCUUGGGUUUGUGGGUUCGAGUUCUACUUUGGGUUCUGCGCUUACAGUGCAGAAACUGUUUGGAAUUGUGUCUCCCUCUUUCUGCCUCUCUCCCGCUUGCAUCCUCGCGCUCUCUCAAAAUAAAUAAACUUAAAAAACACCCCAACAAUCUUAAAUCAAAAUGGACCACUAGAGUGAUACUAAGAAGGACGAGAUAGGGUUUUGCCCACAUGACGUCUGUAGCAUUUGCGGUUUCUCUCGGGCUCUGCUUGCUUCUCCAAGAGUAAACCCAACUCACCGCGGUGAUUCUUGUGAUAGCAGCAGUGUCUCCCAGCUCUUCUUUUAACUGUUCAUACGAUUUCCCUGCCUGAAACAGAUACAAAACAGGACGCAGUGCUGUUUCUGCGGGGAGUGAUGCCUCAGGCCUAGGCUGUACCCUCAAGGAGAGCAAACAGGAUGCUCCCUCUACCUCUCUACUGAGCCUACUUGUCCUUGGAGAUUCAGCCUGGGAGCCAUCUCUUCUAAGGAGUCUUCUCUGAGUCCCUAAAUGGUGUUGCGUGCCCCUAAUUUGUGCUCCCGCGGCACCUCACACCCCCAUCAUAGCAAAAGGAUGUUUCUAUGUCCAGUUCCUCCAUCGGUCUGUAAACUCUGAGAGCAGGGGCCCUUCACCUUGGUGACACUACACCCACCGCAGGGACUGGCAUGAAGGAGGGGCUGAGUAUGUGUGCUGAGCUGAAUGUCAGGGAGGGGUUGCCCUGAAGAUAUCCCCUUUACAGCCCUAUAUUCCCUAAAAGGCCCAUAUCUCCGAGUGUGGAGCCUGUUGGCGGAAGAGAAAGGAGCGCCUGACGAUAAGAUGGCCUGAUUUUCCCAGGGCAAAGUGGGAAAAUCCCCAAGGCGGCAGUUCUAAACAACCUUCUGAUUUCUCCAUCCCUGGCAAAGAGUGGGCUCUUCCUUUGGUUACCCUUGACGAAUGUUUGGUUGACUCGAGGGUGGGCCAGAGCUACCCUGGGUUUAUCCUUGACAGGGGAGGCACUACACAAAAAAUAGCCUCAACUGUGGGGAUCUCUGCCACUCGUUCUCUGGCUGCGUCUUACCUGGUCCCAGGUAUCCAGGAGCAUCACAUCACCUGGGUUCAGGUCAUCCUGGGUGAAGUCUGUGAUCUCAGUGACAACGAACCGCCCUGUCUUAUUGGAACAUUCAAAGAGACGGGGCUGCGCAUCUAGGAUUUCCUGCUGUAGUCUGCAAUACAGUCCAUUCAGAGGAACUAAGCGACGUGGAAAUCAGGUUUUUAAAACAGAAAGGCAUCCUAGAGUUUGUGCAGUUCCCAAGCCUGGGCGGCAGGGGGAGCCCAGACGAGGGGGCGCUGUGUUUCCCUACCUUUUGUCAUUGGCGUAGGCAGUCUUGCCUCCCAGCAGGUCCCAGAACUCAGCCGGCUCCUGGCCCUCGGCCACAGUGUCCUCGGUGCCCUCGCAGAGAAGGCCGGCCAGCUCCUUGGCCAUUGCCCGCUCAUCCCCACUAGACCCCUGAGUGGGGUGAGGAGAGCACAGGGGUUAGUCGUACAUAGAUGCGUUGACGUAGGGGGCGAAGCCACACUGAGAGUGUCCUGGGAUCAGCUACCAAAGCCACAGCGCCUCAGGAGGGGGAGAGGGGUUUGUUCUAGUGCUGGGAGAGGAGGGGCGGGGGAGAGGAAAGCAGCGUGGUGGCAGAGAGCAGGACUGGACUCUGAAACCCACACAGAAGUCGGCAAGAGCCCCCUUGGUUUUAGCUUCACUUGGAAUUUUAGCACCGACUUCGGAUUCUUUUUUAAGAGAAAAAAACUUAAAUUUGAAAAGUUACUUAUUCAAGAAAAUUCACUCUUUUUGGUGUACACUUCUAUGAGCCUUGACAAACACACAGAAUCACGUUACCACCAUCAAAACGGAAGGUCUAGAACAUUUGCCUCAGCCCCGCCAAAAAUUCCCUCGGACUACCCCUCUGUGGUCAGAUGCUCCCCACGUCCUUAACCUCCGGCAACCGUCGGUCUGUUCUCCAUCACUACACUGUUGCCUUUUCCAGAAUGUUAUACACGGAAUCACGCACUGUGUAGCCUUUGAGGCUGGCUUCCUUAGCACAGCGCAUUUGAGAUUCAGCUUUGUCGUGAGUAUCAACAGCUUUUUUCUUUGCGUUGCCGAGAGGUAUUCUACUAUGAAUAGUAGUAUGAAUAUACCGCUGUUUUCAUUUUCUAGUUGAGUUGCUUCCAAUUUUGGGUGCUAGUGAAUAAAGGUGCUAUGCAUA